UACGAAGGGGGCUAGCGUUGCUCGGAAUCACUGGGCGUAAAGCGCACGUAGGCGGAUUGCUAAGUCAGGGGUGAAAUCCUGGAGCUCAACUCCAGAACUGCCUUUGAUACUGAAGAUCUUGAGUUCGGGAGAGGUGAGUGGAACUGCGAGUGUAGAGGUGAAAUUCGUAGAUAUUCGCAAGAACACCAGUGGCGAAGGCGGCUCACUGGCCCCGAUACUGACGCUGAGGCACGAAAGCGUGGGGAGCAAACAGG
rnacentral:rRNA from 1 species